GACGAACCGUACGAGCGUUAUUCGGAAUCACUGGGCUUAAAGGGUGCGUAGGCGGCGCAGAAAGUUGGGUGUGAAAUCCCUCGGCUCAACCGAGGAACUGCGCCCAAAACUACUGUGCUCGAGGGAGACAGAGGUGAGCGGAACUUAGGGUGGAGCGGUGAAAUGCGUUGAUAUCCUAAGGAACACCGGUGGCGAAAGCGGCUCACUGGGUCUCUUCUGACGCUGAGGCACGAAAGCUAGGGUAGCGAACGGG
rnacentral:rRNA from 1 species